GGAUCAUUUGCACAUGUGUAGCCAACUGCAUGCUAAUGAUAUUGUGGGCAACUGUAAGCAUGUAUUGCAAUGGACUUGCACUUGCCCUGGGCAGCAUGAUUUGUUUUUCAAGCAUGUGUGCUGUAGCGUGUGAUGUGUUGUGUAAACUGUUUGCAUUUCUCUAGUUGCUGCAACACUUAUGUUUUGCAAGGAAUGUCUUAGCUCAAUAAAUGAUGAAGAAUGCAGCAAAAUGCAAUAUGCAUUGCGAAUUGCAGAAUUCCGUGAGCUAACAGAUGUUUGAAUGUUACUUGUACCUUUGGGAUAUUCUUGAAGGUUUGCUUGGUUUAAUGCAAAGUAGCUUUCAUAUACAUUUAAUGCUGAUUAGCAUUGUUGUGAACAAUAAAGGUCAAUGUUUUGCAUUGAACCUGGAUGUCAUACAGUUGUUUACAACCUAAACAUGGUUUCGUGGGGCAGACCUGUUUCGUCAUUUGAUGGUUGAUAUUUGUAAAUGUGCACAACUGGGACAAGCUGAAGACUUGCAUAUGCUAAGCGUGAAGUGAAGCACAUAAACCUGCUGAAUUUAAGCAUAUAAGUAAGUGUA
rnacentral:rRNA from 1 species